AACGUUAGUGUUAAAAAACUGAAACAGGAAGUGCUUCUGGACCAGUGUUGUUUACAUCUUGUGAAAUGGUCUAUACAAACACAAACCGACCGCAGGCAGAGCUGUGGGGAUUUAUUAAUACUCUAAAAGCAACUUGAUGGAUUUAGAGACCGGAAGAAACGAACUGGGUGCGAUGGGAGAUUCGCUGCAGCCGCAGACCCCCAGUCGCCACGAGAAAAGUCUCGGGCUCCUCACGACUAAAUUUGUGACUCUGCUGCAGGAAGCGAAGGACGGAGUGCUGGAUCUGAAAGCUGCUGCAGAUACUUUGGCUGUAAGACAGAAAAGGCGGAUAUAUGACAUCACCAAUGUUUUGGAAGGAAUUGGACUUAUUGAAAAGAAAUCCAAAAACAGCAUCCAGUGGAAAAUCAGAGUACAAUAGUGAAAUCUGUGCCAUUGGCAAAGCGACACUGGACUUUCUCAAGGAAGGGCAAGCGGGACUGGAGGAGGUCCACCUGGUGCACAGUUAUGUCCUUGCACAUGGACACAUCGAGGGUCCUGAGUCUGUCACAGUGCAGCGCAAUUAUGGAAAGAGUGCUGUAGGAACACAUUAACCAUGUUAAGCAGAGCUCAGUAGUUUAGUGUGAAAACAGCACUGGAUGAGGUCACUCACUCGUUUGUAACCGCGUCGCAGCAGGCCAGGAAUAGAUGCUGCAGUCUGUGGAGGAGCGGAAGGGCCCGCGCCAUACCUUGGUCACUGAUCUGGGGACAGAGGUUGAGUGCCAGGCUCGUGAGGUUGCGGCAGUGAAGAGCUACGGACACCAAGCUGUCGUCGCUGAUCUCGGGCAGCAUGGAAAGCGAGAGACGCUGCAGGUCUGGGAAACGGAGUACCUGAGGUGGCCAGGAACAUUUUGUAAUGGACUACAAUUUGCAAGCAGCGGCGUUUCUAUUAUGGACUGACCUGUGUGAUACUGGUGUCGGUUAACUUCGAGCAGGCCGACAGGUCCAGUUCCUGAAGACCCCUGAGGGCCAGCAGUGAUGCUCCUUCCCGAUCUCUAAACGCCCCCAGGUCCUCAUCGGUUACGAGACGUGGCUUCUCCUGGAAAGGCAUGCUGGGAGGCUGGAAAAAGCCCAUGUUUCCAAAUGUCCUGCAGCCCCCAGUCUGAGAUCUCUUUGCACCAGCCGAGCCGCAGCACCAGCAGCGCAGGGAGAUAGUUUGCGAUGGCGUGAACACUGAGGUCGGUGAGGUAGACGCAGGAGUUUCUUAGGCUAAGGGACUGCAGCUGCGCCCUGGGCUGUGGACAGGACAAUCCCUUCACCAGGUCUGUCCCGCUGACAUGCAGACACUCCGACAGAUCCAAAGUCCUCAAGCACGGCAGCGCCAUCAGCUCGGUCAGGCCUUUAUCUGUUAUCUUCCAGUCCUGCGAGAGGGUCAGCGACUGCAGAUCCUUCAGCUCAGUGGACACCGCCAGCACCGUCCUACUGGUCAACUCAGUGCAGGCACCGAGAUCCAGCGUCCUCAGGCCGUUCUGGUGCUUGCAGAGGGUUUCUAUGGAGUAGUCAGUCAGCUCUUUACAGCCGCGUAGACUCAGAUCCUCCAGACGGAGGCCGGGCACCUGAGCUAUGGAGCGGAGGGAUUCGGGGGUGAUGCUGGUGCGACUCAAGUCCAGGCUGUGGAGCGUACAGGCCUGCUUCUGCAAGAGAGUCAGGAGGUUCCGGAGGGAAACUAGAGCCGAGGAGCCGGACCCAACAGGGCUACCUCGGUAUGGGUCAAACUCGAAAGCGAUGUGGCACCCGGCCAGGGCCAGACCGCGCAACCUGGGCGUGCAACUCGUCAGCCGGUUGAAAGAGAGAUCGGAGAGGUAGCGGAGAUCAGACAAGUCCAGUUCCUCCAGAAAAGCCCCAGACAUGAAGAGGCUGUCCAGCCCGUGAAGGUCCAGCUUGCGGAGGCCGGUCAGAUGUGGCAGGAGGCCCAGCAGGGAAGACUCUGUGAUGCUGCUGCCCGGUAGAGCCAAACUGUCCAAGUGAGGGCCUAGGUGAAGCCCCACUUCCAAAAGUACUUGUCUUGACAGGCUGGAUCCAUCAAGAUGACUGAUGACUAGGCCACAGCGAGGGCGCCUUGCAAGUGCACGGAUAAAGUCCAGUGAAGAUGUGGAAACAUGGAACUUGAAGGUGGCAUUUUUCUAGAUUUAAACACCCAAAAGACAAUUGAAACAAAUGUGGAAGAAGUGGACUAAACCAAAACAUGAAUGUCUACAUUUAGUAUAAAUUUAAAUUAAGAUCAUCUUGAUAUUCCAAUGAAAAUGAGAAAAACCUGAAACCGGUGGUCUUGGCUUGCUUCGUACCAACUCUUACAGACCAGUGACGCCUCCUUUCGAUCCGUUACAUGAAGGUAACUCAAUAUGUAGGAGAUAAUCUGGAGCAGAAGGGAGAAAAUGUACAGGUUACAACACUCUCUCUGGAACAUAUGAAGUCAAGACUGAACUAUAUAAUGAAAGUUGUCACAUUUUGCUCAUGUUAUACAUUAUAUUAUACACUAUUUUUAUUGUGUGUGUGUUGGGGGGGUAUUAAUGAAUAUUUUAAUUAUAUGAUAUAUGAAUUAUAAAUAAUUACGUACGUAAUACGUACGUACGUAUACACACAAUUAUAAUCCAUUUAUAUUAUUAAUAUAUAAACAUAAUUUUAUUGUGACAACGUGCCCCACAUAGAGAAAAAAAACUGGUAUAAGUUAUUCCCAUAGACUGUAAAAAGGUUAUUCCUAAUACAUCUACGCCAACCAAUGUCUGUCUGUCCGUUUAUCUAUCAAUCGUUUUUUGUUCUCCUUCAAAAUAUCCAUUGUGUGUGCUAUGCUACAGA